UGGGGAAUUUUGGACAAUGGGCGCAAGCCUGAUCCAGCGACGCCGCGUGGAGGACGAAGGCCUUCGGGUUGUAAACUCCUUUUGGAGGGGAAGAAUAAAUUGACGGUACCCUCAGAAAAAGCCACGGCUAACUACGUGCCAGCAGCCGCGGUAAUACGUAGGUGGCGAGCGUUACUCGGAAGUACUAGGUGUAAAGCGUAUGUAGGUGGUUAGAUAAGUCUAUGGUGAAAUUUCCUGGCUCAACUGGGAAGGGUACAUAGAUACUGUCUGGCUUGAGUGUGGGAGGGGAAGACGGAAUUCCUGGUGUAGCGGUGAAAUGCGUAGAUAUCAGGAGGAACACCGAUGGCGAAAGCAGUCUUCUGGCCCAAUACUGACACUGAGGUACGAAAGCUAGGGUAGCAAACA
rnacentral:rRNA from 1 species